UUUCUUCUUCAUAUUUCCCCUAUACACUCACAAAGCCCUAGUUUCAUCUCACUCUAAUCUCUCUAUCUCUCAGUUGAAAUCAAACCCCAGACCCCAUUAUUCUUCCCCUCUCUCUCUCGUAUUCCUGUCUCCCUCUCACUCCAGCUCUCUUUGUGUCUCUGAUUCAAAGUUUUAUUCUUCUAAUCCCUCUCUCUCUCACCCUUUCGCCCAGCUACCAUAGCCAAUAAAGCUGAAAAGAAAAGCCCCAUUUCAUUUUCUUCUUCAUAUUCCCCUAUACACUCUCAAAUCCAUAGCUCCCUCUCACUCAAUUGAAAUUAAACCCAGACCCCAUUAUUCUUCCCCUCUCUCUCGUAUUCCUGUCUCCCUCUCACUCUAGCUCUCUCCGUCUCUCUCAUUCGAAGUUGAGGGUCCAUGACCGAUUUGAUAAUGGUGAGAUGAAUAGGGUUUUUUUGGGUUGUCGGAUUUGAUGAAGGCUGCGGCGGAGGUGCUUGGUAAUGGCGGGUUAGGGUCAGCCUAUAAGGUCGCCAUGGUCAUUUGGGCUGUCUGUGGCGUUCGACGUCGAGAUGAGGCGGUUCGGUGGAGAGAGGAGAAACUGUUAGUCUCUGAGUACAUUCCUAAAGGCAGCUUUUAUGCACGGUAAGAGAAAUCUCCACAUACACACACAAACACAAGAUCAUAAUCUUUUACAGUCAUUAAUUUAUUAAUAUACUUGUUCUAAACUAAUCCAAGGAAUCGCCAGGGGAUCCUCUAUACAGUGUUCUCAAACUACGAUGGGGAAAUCUGAAGUCCAGCAAUGUCCUCUUGAACCACAACCAUGAACCAGUGCUCAGUAUGCUUUUCACCCUCUGAUGAGCCUCAUCAACGCAGCUGCAUGAUGAGCCCCAGCGAUCUUCACACAAGUAAAGCUUGCUUUCCAAAUAAAGAAAAAGGUUAAGGAAAAUGAGUGUGGUAGUUCUAUGGAAGCAUCAAACUGUGUCAAACAGGAAUGAUUGUUGUUGGAACUAAAAACAGCAAUAAAAUGAAAACAGCUUUCAAGAGGGAGCAUGAAGUGGAAUUGCUGCCAACUUCUUUAUAUAUGUAAAUAUGAACUAAAAGUACAAUUUUUGACAUGUGUAUAGAUUUUUGUAUUAUGUUUUAUAUUGAUUUUGUACUAAAUAUUUUUUUUAGUUUGUAUUUUGUUUAUCUAUUUUAUAAAAAUUAAUUUUGAUAUUUUAUUAA